rnacentral:tRNA from 1 species
UCUCUGGCAGUCCAGUGGUUAAGACUCUGUGCUUCCAAUGCAGGGGCCUGGGUUCAAUUCCUGGUCCAGGAA